UAUAGGCGAAUAAUAAGUUCAGUCAUUAAAAAAUAAGUAUCGCGAUAUUAUUUUUUAUGCAUUGGAAACAUUUCUGCGUGAGAAAUAAUCCAGUGCAUAAAAUUUAGAUCCGAAACAUUUCAAGCUGUCACUUUUUUCUUUUUUUGGCGCUUGAUGUUUGUUGCUGCAAUUCAGAACUCGAAAAAUUUAUCGUCUUCUCCGGUACUGCUGGUGGCGCAAGUAAAUGUUUUCGGGACUAUUUAAUACAGCAGAAUCAUGCUCGAGAAUGAAAAUAUUAAAUUGUCUGAAAAUGUUGCUGCAGCAGUUCCGGUGUGUUGGCCAUUCUUCUGGAGCAGCUCGGAAAUUUUUUGGCUCAAGUCAAACGACCGGGUGAAGGGUUCAUAUUAUAAAACCCACAGGAGGUGUCCAUUGCCCGGAAUGAUAUUCCGCUGGUGAUUCCACGAUCACUAACAGAACUUUAUCGAGAAUGUUCGCCAGCAUUUCGAGUGAAUCAAUCGAUUCGCUCGGCGGUGUAGUUACGUAACGCGGGCACAUCCAGUAACAGUUGCAGUAUCACUGCAAUUUCUGUUUUUUUAAGUUUAAAUUUUGUUUUUAUAUUAAGCAUUGAAUAAAUAACAUUUUAAAACA